UACGUAGGGUGCGAGCGUUGUCCGGAAUUAUUGGGCGUAAAGAGCUCGUAGGCGGUUUGUCGCGUCGACUGUGAAAACCUACAGCUUAACUGUGGGCUUGCAGUCGAUACGGGCAGACUUGAGUUCGGUAGGGGAGACUGGAAUUCCUGGUGUAGCGGUGAAAUGCGCAGAUAUCAGGAGGAACACCGGUGGCGAAGGCGGGUCUCUGGGCCGAUACUGACGCUGAGAAGCGAAAGCGUGGGGAGCGAACAGG
rnacentral:rRNA from 1 species